rnacentral:tRNA from 1 species
GGGGUUGUAGCUCAGUGGUAGAGUGCUCACCAAGCACGUGUGAAGCACUGGGUUUGAUCCUCAGCACCACA